CAGACUCUGUCCCUGACUGACUCGCGCCUGCGCUCACGAGGCACCGUGCUGGUCAACGCCCUGGGCAGCAACACCUGCCUGAGAAAAGUGGACCUGAGCGGGAACAACAUGGACGACAUCGGAGCCAAGAUGCUGAGCAAAGCCCUGCAGAUCAACACCACGCUCAGGAGUGUGACAUGGGAUCGCAACAACACCUCCGCAGCAGGAUUUCUAGAUGUGGCCCGAGCACUUGAGCACAAUUUCACCUUGCAGUACAUGCCUCUACCCCUCAGUGACAUCAGCCAGGCGUACCGCAGCGCCCCUGAGAGGACAGAGCAGGCACUG